UACGUAGGGUGCGAGCGUUGUCCGGAAUUAUUGGGCGUAAAGAGCUCGUAGGCGGUUUGUUGCGUCGGCCGUGAAAACCUGCAGCUUAACUGUGGGCCUGCGGCCGAUACGGGCAGACUUGAGUUCGGUAGGGGAGACUGGAAUUCCUGGUGUAGCGGUGAGAUGCGCAGAUAUCAGGAGGAACACCGGUGGCGAAGGCGGGUCUCUGGGCCGAUACUGACGCUGAGGAGCGAAAGCGUGGGGAGCGAACAGG
rnacentral:rRNA from 1 species